UGGAGUCUAAAAGGAGGAGGCGAAUCGAACGCAAAAAUUAUGGGCCCAGUUUUUGAGAUCUAAAUGAAGUUCGAAAAUCGCCGUUAGGGGCGCUUGUGAUGAUUGGGAUACUAGAAAUACACAGCUUCUUAUGGCAAGAAUAACUAUUUUGUUAUAAAUUAUAGAGCCAAGUUAAUAUUUGGGCAUAUUUUUACCAGAGUUAGCUUUUAGAAACGUGGUUUUUCUAAUUGAGCAAUGUGCGUGGCUAAAAUUGUGAAUACAAAACCUUAAAUUUGAGUUUGAAAAUGCAUACACGACCGAAGAAACAUAUAAGCUGCUAAAAUAAAUCUUCCCUAGAACUGUUGUACAAAAAAGAUAGAAGUUCCAGCAACAAAUUUAUCACCAGUUCAACCUUUGAUUUGAUGUAAACAGUAAUUGUUUCUUGAUGAGAAAUGCGAAUGAAAUAGUUUAUGGUGUGAUUGUGUUAGUGUUUUAUUAAUAGUUUUGUUGAUGCAGUUUAAAGGUUCAUAGUUUUUCAUUAAAACAUUUGAAAUUGACAUGUU